AACGAACGCUGGCGGCAUGCCUAACACAUGCAAGUCGAACGAGAACUUCGGGUCUAGUGGCGCACGGGUGCGUAACGCGUGGGAACCUGCCCUUAGGUUCGGAAUAACUCUCCGAAAGGGGUGCUAAUACCGGAUAAUGUCUUCGGACCAAAGAUUUAUCGACUUUGGAUGGGCCCGCGUUGGAUUAGCUAGUUGGUAGGGUAAAAGCCUACCAAGGCGACGAUUCAUAGCUGGUCUGAGAGGAUGGUCAGCCACACUGGGACUGAGACACGGCCCAGACUCCUACGGGAGGCAGCAGUGGGUAAUAGUGGACAAUGGGCGAAAGCCUGAUCCAGCAAGGCCGCGUGAGUGAUGAAGGCCGUAGGGUUGUAAAGCUCUUUUACCCGGGAUGAUAAUGACAGUACCGGGAGAAUAAGCCCCGGCUAACUCCGUG
rnacentral:rRNA from 1 species